UUGAUGUAAAAGCUAGAUUACAUGGUGCAAAAGGUUUUCCAGUGGCAGUAACUUGAGAUGCUGGGUUCCACCUAAGCUACUUGCACUCUUAUCAAGGCUUGGCAUA